rnacentral:rRNA from 1 species
AGCGUAGGUGGCCUAACAUGUCAACUGUGAAAACCCGGAGCUCAACUCCGGACUUGCAGUUGAAACUGGUAGGCUUGAGGACGGUAGAGGAAGACGGAACUGCCAGUGUAGGGGGUAAAAUCCUUAGAUAUUGGCAGGAACGCCGGUGACGAAGGUGGUUUUUCUGGGCCGGUUCUGACACUGAUGCUCGAAAGGCCAGGGGGAGCGAACG